GCCCUAGUAGCUUAAAAUUUAAAGCCCUGGUCUUGUAAACCAAAGAUGAGAUACACCCCUCCUAGGUCAA
rnacentral:tRNA from 1 species